AAUCGUUUAAUUUUAGUUGGUUUGCUUAUUAAUAUGGUCAGUUAUAUGGAUGGAUUUCCUAAUAUUGAACCAUCCUUGCAUUCCUGGUAUAAAUCCCACCUUCUCAUAAUGGAUAACCCUCAUGAUUACUUGCUGGAGUUUUUUUAACAAAUGCAGCAGUUUCCUAUGGGACAAACAACAUGCAGAAGAAGGAGGGAGAAUGAGCACCUAUGUCUGAGUGGAAAUACUGCUGUAAAGUGCACAGACCGAAAUAAAUCUGAUAUGUGAGAAGACUUUAUAACGAGACACUAAUGAGGGACUUGAGACCAAAAGAAAGACUGUCACCUGGAAAAUGUGAUCAUGAAGAACGUGCUAAUGAGCAUGCCAUGCAUCCAGACUUUCAUCUUAACUGCUACAAAACUCUGCCUGAACAGCCUCAUAAAAUUUAAAAAUAGAGAUUCAACUUCCAUCUAUAAAACAUGGAAAAAAAUAUUUGGCAUUCACUUCAGAGGACUGUUGUGAGAAAUGCGCUUUCUAAAUUUUAAUAUAUCAAAUAUGUUGUUAUCUUCCCUAAAAUAUCUAAUUUUGUUUCUACUCUGUGUGAGGCACAUAAAUAAAUGUAUAUUUAAAUCUUUUAAAUUUCCUCUU
rnacentral:lncRNA from 1 species